CGCCGUUAUAAAUAAGGCCUACAGGACAGGGCUUCUAUUAUACCUGCAGCUUUUGCAAACCAUACUCAAGGCUUCAAGCACAAGCACUGCGCCUGUCAACAUGAACUCUGUCUUGGGAAUGGACCUUCUUGCGGCUAUUGCGGUGGCCAUAGCUCUGAUCAUCAUGGAACCCAACGAAGCUGCUGCUCUUGGAGGCUUCGUCGGAGGAUCUGAUGGAAUCGGAAAGAGAAGGAAGUGAACGAGCAUUCACCGUGGAUGAUGUCAGGCGUCUAGGUUUUCGAUGACAAAGCC